rnacentral:rRNA from 1 species
CGGUAAUACGUAGGGUGCAAGCGUUAAUCGGAAUUACUGGGCGUAAAGCGUGCGCAGGCGGUUGUGCAAGACAGAUGUGAAAUCCCCGGGCUCAACCUGGGAAUUGCAUUUGUGACUGCACGGCUAGAGUGUGUCAGAGGGGGGUAGAAUUCCACGUGUAGCAGUGAAAUGCGUAGAGAUGUGGAGGAAUACCGAUGGCGAAGGCAGCCCCCUGGGAUAACACUGACGCUCAUGCACGAAAGCGUGGGGAGCAAACAGGAUUAGAUACCCCGG